UUCAUACUCUUGGUUUUAGAGCUUUUCUCUCUUAGGGUUUCUUGUAUGAACAUGCCUUGAGAGAGCUUUGCUUGGUUUUCGGUUUUGAGCCAUUUCAAUGAACAAGAUGCAGAUUUUCUUUGUGUCUUAACUCACUCUUGGUUAUCUUAGCUCAUUGUUGGUGAAAAACCAUUCAUUUCUACUUCCAUUUGCUUGUUCUUGAUGUUUGAAGCUUGAGCUUUGGAGCUUGUCUUUGCAUUUCCAUGGUGAUUGUUGGGUUUGAGUAACUUUAUAUUUUCAUUUUCCCGUUUCAUUGCUGCAGUAAAUGGAGCUCUAUGUUAGUUUUGGGUUGAAAAGAGCUUAAGUUGAUGUGUGGGUGUUGUGGUUUGUACUCUUUCUUCUUGCAUUUCGUUUUUUAUGUUUGAAACAAGGAAUGGACCAGAUUUUUGUGUUAUUAUGGUGGCUGGACAGAGCUGGAGUUGAUGGCCUAAAUUUUAUUUUCGUUUUUGCAAAGAAAGUUGAAGAAAAGUGAGUGUUGGAAGUGGAUUGAUGAGUAGAAGUUUGGGUUUCUUGUUCUAGUCUUGAUUUGCACUUUGAACUUUGGUUCCUUGGUGUAUUCUCAGUGGAGAAGAGUUGGAGAAACAUUUGGAUGCAUGUUGUUGAAGAAAGAAACAUUUGGUGUGUAGAAGGGAGAGAGAAAUGAAGCAUUUAAGUUUUUACCUCUUUUGGACAAGCAAAAUAUGAAGCACAUUUUUACUAAAGGAAUGUUUCCACUUUUGGUUUUGUCUUCUCUUUGCAUUGCUGCCGAGAAUCACCUUUAGGAAGGGAGUGUUUAGAUGGUUUAUUUCCUUUGACCUUGCCUACAUGGCAUCUUGGUUGGACCACC
rnacentral:lncRNA from 1 species